rnacentral:lncRNA from 1 species
GUUCCACUUAGCUAUGGAAGGUCUGAAUUAGGAGGCCAGCUCCUUGGUGGGCAGCAGCCUGCAGUUCCUGGUCCCUAUGUGGCUGAGGCAGAUGUAGUGCAUCUUGAGAGACUCUGUGGCACAGUGGGAUCAGGUGCUCAAGCAAGCUGAGCCAGCGCUGCAUUUGCACACCUCUUGAGUAACUUCAGUAUGGCCUGAAUAUUCAGAGGGACAAAAAAAAUAUCCUCCUUCACAUAGAAAUUUGUUUAAGAGGAGUCCGCUUCUAAUUCCCUGGAUCACGUGUGCUGGUACAAGGAACCUAGAGCAUCUGCUCAGCAAGUGGUGGAGCAAGUGUUAACAGUCACCUGCAGUGAGACCUCAGCUGCACCCACUGAUUGCUGAGAUUUUUCAGCCCGGCAGCCUCAGAGACUUGGGAAUUGUUUUCCUGCUCUAAGGAGGAACUCUUCAGGGAGAAACUUAGCCAUCGAAGCAUUCUUCCUAGAAAGAUCAUUGCAAGCUAGAACUGUGUGUGUGCAUCCUAUCAGCUGUGAGCAGCCAUGUACAGCAGGUAAAGGAAAGGUGUACAGUGCCAGCCAGGACUCAACUCCAGAGAAGCAGAACGCAAGGUGCACUCCACCGCUUCUUUCUGGGUGCUGCACAGCACUUCCCCACACUAAGGAGAUGCAGCAGGCACUAAAGAUGAGAUCACAACUGAGCCAAACCCUAAAAGUGAAGCAGUGUGGUUCAAGAGCAGAUCAGAGACUGUGUCACUGGAAAGAUGAUCCUGCUGCUUCUCUCGUAUGUAUUUACUUUCAAUUCCUUUACUCCCUUGUUCACCUUCUGUUAUACCUCCCCCUCAAAUACCUUAUUUCAUGCAGGGGCUGCAGAUAUUCUUUUU